AUGUCUGAUUUGUCCACCCUCACUUUCCUGUGGAUGCUUAUUACCCAUGAAAACAUCAGCCAAAGGCUAAGUUCAACAGGACUAGAAAUGAGAAAUUGGAAGUCCCCUCUGCUGUGGUGGUGUGCUGUGGGGAAGAGAUGGAUUUGUAAGUCCCCGGGCGAGGUCCUGCCUCCCCAAGGCCACUACUUUGCGGAGGAGACUCUGGGUGAAGCUAUCAUCAUUACGUUUGACCAGGAGGCAAAACCUUCUACUGGGGACUUGAGGGAUAAGGAAAGAGCAUACAUUAAACUCAGAGUCACUGGACAUGGUGCAGUGAGAUUCACUUUGAAGUGAGGAUGGUGGACGACACAUCUCCGGCAACUCAGAGAAUCAUAUUGUCAAAGACUGGAUGUUCCAGUGAAUUCACUCAGGUUUCUCUUCGAAGGUCAGAGGAUUGCUGAUAAUCACAGUCCUAGGGAGCUGGGAAUGGAGGAAGAUGUGAUUGAAGUUUAUCAGGAACAAACAGAGGGUCAUUCAACAGUUUAGAUAUUAUUUUUAUCUUUUCUUCUUUCCCCCUUAAUCCUCUUUUAGUUUUAAAAAUAGUUCUUUUGUCAUGUGGCGUUCAGGAUGGAAUUGAAGACUGGCACCUCACCUCCUUAAGACAUCUGGUGAUGUGAAUUCUGGUGUCCAUUAGUCAUUAUCAUUUGUUUCCCUGGUGCUGAGUUUUGGUGAUGAAACCUCAGUGCCCUUCCUGUUGCCCUCUCCUUUUUAUGAAUUACGCGGGUACACUGAGGGGCCACCUUUUCCAGGACUGUGGGUCUUCAGGCUUAUGGUAAAUAAGACUCACCAAUGCAGUGUUCAUAAUGGCUUUCCGAUUGGCCCUGAAGUUCUGGCAACUUCAGGAAGUUACUUCCUUCCUGGACUUGUGGCUUUCGGUGGGAAAUGGAAGUUUCUCAGAGAACCGAGCUGUGGAAAAAUGGCCUUUCCUUCACUUAAAGCUGCUUUGAAAAUCUGAGGGUUUGGCCCCAAAGAAGAGGAAUAUCGGGCUGGAGUCAAGGUGGCAUAGAGACAGUGAGAAUAGGGACUAACUCCAAAGAUGGCUUCACUGAAGAUAAAUCAUUUUAAGAUUAAAGAAAAAUCUUGUCAGAAGAUCCCCAAAACUUGUGAUUUUCCUAGGUAGUUAAUAAAGUUAUUCAUGCAGAAGUGUCUAUAACAGAGCACUGCUCUUUUUUAUUUUAUUUGUACUUUUUGGCCUAGGCAUCUGGGUUUUAAAUGGACAUUGUCUAUACCAACUUCAUUAAAAUAAACAAAAUAUUCGUAAAAGCAAGCGAAUGAAUAAAAUUGAUAUUCCAAAAUGGUAAACUUGUUUGGCAAUAACCAACUAGAAAACAUAAUGGGGAAAGAGAUCCCAUUUGCAACAUGUCAUAGAGAUGUCUAUAAAAUUUCUUAGCAAAAUCUUUUCAAAAAUAUAUAGGAUUUAUAGGGGAGAAAAAAUGCAAAUUCUGACCUAUAUCUCAGGAAAAUUGAGAUUUAAAGCUUACAUAUCGACAAAGAGUGGGAGUGAUGUUGUUUCCAAUGGGGAGAAAAUUGGUUCUUAUUGGAAAAAAAAAUCUAAAGCAAUAUCCUGUAUGUGGUAUUAAAAAUUCACUGGGAAGGAGGCAAUUAGGAUAAAAAUGUCUUAAAAGGCUCCAAGGGGAACAAUAAUGAAAGAAAUCUUGAGAAACACCGAUAUAAGGAAAACUGUAAUAGAAAUGUAUGUUUUUUCUUAUAUGGAAAACUGGAAAUUGUAAAAAUAGCGACUCUUAAAAUUAUAGUUUUAAUGGAAUUCCAAUAAAAAUAUGAAUGGGCUCGGGCACCUGGGUGGCUCAGUUGGUUAAGCCACUGCCUUCGGCUCAGGUCAUGAUCCUGGAGUCCCUGGAUUGAGUCCCGCAUCGGGCUCCCUGCUCGGCAGGGAGUCUGCUUCUCCCUCUGACCCUCCCCCUUCUCAUGUGCUCUCUCUCUCUCAUUCUCUCUCUCUCAAAUAAAUAAAAUCUUUAAAAAAAUAUAUGAAUGGGCUCAAAAGUUGGCAGGUGGUUCUUAAAAUUCACCCAGAAGAUUAAAAUGAUGAGAUUAUUAAAAUAACAUUGGGAAGAAGAGCUCUAAAUGAUACUAACAUUUACCCUAAAACUGUUAGGUACUGUUGGCAUCAGUAUACACAUUCAGAUCAACCAAGAAAGUCCCAAAUAAAUAAUUUAUUUUCUAAUAAAAGUGGAAUUAUUAUUCAAUAAGCAGUUCUGAAAUGAUCCAUCAGCUAUUUAGAUAAAAGCCUUAGGUUCAAUCUCUCCCUCCUACCAUACUCAAUUAUAUUCUAGACAGAGUAAAGAACUCAAACAGUCAAAACAACAAAACAAUGAAAACAUUUUAUAUAUCUCAAGGAAAAUGUAUAUAGAUAUUUUCCUGAUUUGGUGGUAGAGCUUUUAGAAAAAAAUUGUGAGAACAGAGAAAACAGAAAUUUGACCAAGUAAAAAAUAAAAACAUCUACACCAAAGAAUUUCCAUAAACAAAAAUAGAAGGAAAGUAGUGAACUCUGAACAGUAUUUGGAAUAUCAUACGUGGAAACUUCCACAUAUGAUAAAGAGUUAAUAUCAUGGAUGAAUAAAGAGCUCCUACGCAGCAGUGAGAUUUAUAUGAGAAUCAAUUAAGUAAUAGACAGUAAACAUAACAACAAGUUCUUAAAGGCAAAUUAAUACUAAACUUAUAAAAGACACGUUCAUUCAUCAUGAUUUCAAGAAAUGCAGAUGAAUAGGGGCGCCUGGGUGGCUCAGUCCUUAAGCGUCUGCCUUCGGCUCAGGUCAUGAUCCGAGGGUCCUGGGAUCGAGCCCCGCAUCGGGCUCCCUGCUCCACAGGAAGCCUGCUUCUCCCUCUCCCACUCCCCCUCUUUGUGUUCCCUCUCUCGCUGUGUCUCUCUCUGUCAAAUAAAUAAAUAAAAUCUUAAAAAAAAAAAAAAGAAAUGCAGAUGAAUAUUUAAAUGGAAUUUUUUCUUCUCUUAUUGGGCAAUGACCAAAAAUAUUUGAAAUCUGGGGGUUUGGGAGGUAAAAGUCACUCAUCUACACUGCUGGACAAAGUGUAGAUACGUACAGUCUCACUUGGGGGAGGGGGUCUGGCUUUUUAAAUCCGUACUUCCAGAUUCAAAGAAGUGCUUCAGGAUAUAUACGAUAUUAAUGUACAAGAAUGGUCGUUAGAAUAUUAAUCCUAAUCGUGAAAAAAUUAGAAACCAAUUGUGUUUAGCAAUUGGAAAAGCAUCAGUCAUAGUGUGUUAUGGAAUACUAAACAGCCAUGAAACAGACUAUUUUGGAAGGCUGAUCACGUGAGCUGGAAUUCCCAGUAUACAAUAUUUACAAAUAAUAGACAAUAACACUCCAUUUUUAAAAUUGCAUGUGAAAAAAAUUGCAUGUGUACACAGAGAAGAUGAGGAAUAAGAUGCACGAAGUUACUAAUCAUGGUUAUCUCCAAGUAGGGGGCUUAAGGGCAACUUUUCUUUUUCUUUGUACUUUUCUAUAAUUUAAAAUUUUUAUUCAAUGGCCAUUUAUUAAUCUAGAUAAAUCAGAUAAAAGUCGAUUGCUAUGAUUAAAACUACAUUGCU